AAGACCGCUCUGUCUGGGGAACAUGGCCGCCGGAGCAAAGCUAAGAGAAGGAGGCAGGAGAGAGCAGACUCCCCUGGACCCAGCUGUGUCUCCAUGAAGAGCGACUGGUCUAUGGAUAUACCUCCUCAGCUUAAAGAUGGACGGCCCUCCAGAGAGGAGAGACACCAGGAGAGGUCAGAGGUCACC